rnacentral:rRNA from 1 species
UACUCCCGCCGGCGACCGGCGCACGGGUGAGUAACACGUAUGAAACCUGCCCGUAGCAGGGGGAUAAGCGGAAGAAAUUCCGUCUAAUACCGCGUAACAACCCGAGGAGGCAUCUCCUCGGGUUUAAAGGAAGCGAUUCCGGCUACGGAUGGUCAUGCGUCGCAUUAGCUAGUUGGCGGGGUAACGGCCCACCAAGGCAUCGAUGGAUAGGGGUUCUGAGAGGAAGGUCCCCCACAUUGGAACUGAGACACGGUCCAAACUCCUACGGGAGGCAGCAG